UGACGUAUUAAUCUGUGUUGCGAACUGAAUCGGACAGCGGUAGUGGUGAUUGCUAGAAAGUAUACUUCAAAAUAAGGUUUCCGUUUUUAUAACGUAGAAAAAACCAUUCUAACGCAAAACUAUAAACCCUAAUACUAACCUUAGCCCUAAUACUAACCCUAACCUAACCCCAACCCUAACCUAACCCUAACUUAUUUUAAAAAUUAAUAUAAAAACGGAAACCUUAUUUUGAAGUAUACUAUCUGGCAAUUGUCCAGCGGGUAGUACUAGUUAAAACUAGAACCAGGUUUCUGCGCGGGAUAACGUAUUCGGAACGUUUUAUCGACUUUAUAUGGACAUUUAUUGUUGUUGGGGUUUAUCUAAUGUAUCGUUGGUUUAUAGAGCACACAGAAUUGUAAGUAGUGUUUAUUGGUGCUUGAAACGAUG